UACGUAGGGGGCAAGCGUUGUCCGGAUUUAUUGGGCGUAAAGAGCUCGUAGGUGGUUCGGUAAGUCGGAUGUGAAAUCUCCAGGCUCAACCUGGAGGGGUCAUUCGAUACUGCCGUGACUAGAGUUCGGUAGGGGAGUGUGGAAUUCCUGGUGGAGCGGUGAAAUGCGCAGAUAUCUGGAGGAACACCGGUGGCGAAGGCGGCAUCCUGGACCGACACUGACGCUGAGGAGCGAAAGCUAGGGGAGCAAACGGG
rnacentral:rRNA from 1 species